rnacentral:rRNA from 1 species
UACGAAGGGGGCUAGCGUUGUUCGGAAUUACUGGGCGUAAAGCGUGCGCAGGCGGCUUUCCAAGUCAGUGGUGAAAGCCCGGAGCUCAACUCCGGAAAUGCCAUUGAAACUGUGAAGCUUGAGAACGAGAGAGGUGAGUGGAAUUCCCAGUGUAGAGGUGAAAAUUCGUAGAUAUUCGCAAGAACACCAGUGGCGAAGGCG